rnacentral:misc_RNA from 1 species
UCACCCCUCAAGCCCUGGCUUGGUGUUGGACUUUAGUUAUAGCUUUGCCUAUCAACUGGUCUCAAAGAUAGUGACGGCGCCCCAGAGGGAACCGGGUACGAGGAGCUUUUUAUUAAGCAUGUAUCUGGGACGACUCUGAUGGACGACGGUCUUGUUAUAUACUUUUACCUAAG